rnacentral:piRNA from 1 species
UCACAGUGCCCAGACACUGCCCUUGCGAGC